CCUACGGGAGGCUGCAGUGGGGAAUAUUGCACAAUGGGCGCAAGCCUGAUGCAGCCAUGCCACGUGUGUGAAGAAGGCCUUCGGGUUGUAAAGCACUUUCAGCGGGGAGGAAGGCGGUGAGGUUAAUAACCUCAUCGAUUGACGUUACCCGCAGAAGAAGCACCGGCUAACUCCGUGCCAGCAGCCGCGGUAAUACGGAGGGUGCAAGCGUUAAUCGGAAUUACUGGGCGUAAAGCGCACGCAGGCGGUCUGUCAAGUCGGAUGUGAAAUCCCCGGGCUCAACCUGGGAACUGCAUUCGAAACUGGCAGGCUAGAGUCUUGUAGAGGGGGGUAGAAUUCCAGGUGUAGCGGUGAAAUGCGUAGAGAUCUGGAGGAAUACCGGUGGCGAAGGCGGCCCCCUGGACAAAGACUGACGCUCAGGUGCGAAAGCGUGGGGAGCAAACAGGAUUAGAUACCCCGGUAGUC
rnacentral:rRNA from 1 species